GACGAACGCUGGCGGCGUGCUUAACACAUGCAAGUCGAACGGAAAGGCCUUUUCGGGGGUACUCGAGUGGCGAACGGGUGAGUAACACGCGGGUGAUCUGCCCUGCACUCUGGGAUAAGCCUGGGAAACUGGGUCUAAUACCGGGUAGGACCGCACUUUAGCGUUUGUGGUGGAAAGUUUUUUCGGUGUAGGAUGAGCGCGCGGCCUAUCAGCUUGUUGGUGGGGUAAUGGCGUACUAAGGCGGCGACGGGUAGCCGGACUGAGAGGGUGGUCGGCCACAUUGGGACUGAGAUAGAGCCCAGACUCCGACGGGAGGCAGCAGUGGGGGAUGGUGAACAAUGGGCGCAGGCCUGAUGCAGCGACGCCGCGUGGGGGAUGACGGCCUUCGGGUUGUAAUCUCCUUUCGCCAGGGACGAAGCGGUUUGUGACGGUACCUGGAGAAGAAGCACCGGCUAACUACGUG
rnacentral:rRNA from 1 species